UGGGGAAUAUUGCACAAUGGGCGCAAGCCUGAUGCAGCCAUGCCGCGUGUGUGAAGAAGGCCUUCGGGUUGUAAAGCACUUUCAGCGAGGAGGAAGGUGGUGAGCUUAAUACGCUUAUCAAUUGACGUUACUCGCAGAAGAAGCACCGGCUAACUCAGUGCCAGCAGCCGCGGUAAUACGGAGGGUGCAAGCGUUAAUCGGAAUUACUGGGCGUAAAGCGCACGCAGGCGGUUUGUUAAGUCAGAUGUGAAAUCCCCGGGCUCAACCUGGGAACUGCAUUUGAAACUGGCAAGCUAGAGUCUCGUAGAGGGGGGUAGAAUUCCAGGUGUAGCGGUGAAAUGCGUAGAGAUCUGGAGGAAUACCGGUGGCGAAGGCGGCCCCCUGGACGAAGACUGACGCUCAGGUGCGAAAGCGUGGGGAGCAAACA
rnacentral:rRNA from 1 species